rnacentral:rRNA from 1 species
UACGGAGGGUGCAAGCGUUAAUCGGAAUUACUGGGCGUAAAGCGUGCGUAGGUGGUUGAUUAAGUUAUCUGUGAAAUCCCUGGGCUUAACCUGGGCAGGUCAGAUGAUACUGGUUGACUCGAGUAUGGGAGAGGGUAGUGGAAUUUCCGGUGUAGCGGUGAAAUGCGUAGAGAUCGGAAGGAACACCAGUGGCGAAGGCGGCUACCUGGCCUAAUACUGACACUGAGGCACGAAAGCGUGGGGAGCAAACAGG